GUGAGGAGCGAGCCUGCUCGCGAUGGCGAUGUGUCAGUUGCGCAAAUGUUGACUGAUACUCCGCCAUCGCGAGCAGGCUCGCUCCCACA
rnacentral:misc_RNA from 1 species